UAUAAAUAAAUGUUGAUUGAUUGAUUGAUUGAUUUUAUACUUACAUACAGUAGAGAUGUUUAAUAUAUGCGAUCCAUCACUGGCUUCCAUAUCCAAUGUUCCCGCAUCCUGCGGGCAACUGAUGAUGAUGUUGGCCUGGAAGCUGCACACGGAGCAACUCUUAGGAAAGGGUAAAGCACUGAACUGUGGUCAAACAAAAAAAAGAAGAAGGACAUUGAUCAGUAGUUGUUGUAAAAAGCUCAAGAAAUCUAUGUGCUUGCCGUCUCUCGUGUCUUUAGGAACAAGUAGGGGGCCCUCUGGUUUCACGGAGUUUCCCCCGGCAUCCAUCCCAGAAUCAUCAACACAGCCAUCUCCUGCCUGCAACUUGAAAUCCAGCUCUCCCUCUGUCGCA